rnacentral:lncRNA from 1 species
GAACAUCAUAAUAUGGUCGGAGGAGUCAUUUGGUGUGUUUUGAGAGAAAUCCAAUCUCUAGAACGAUAGAACACACCAACCACUACAUUUCAGAACGAACUUCAUACGAACCUUAAUUGUCCAAUUUCAUGGACAAAUCGAUAUCGGAUUGAGUCCAAAACUUGGGGAACAUCAAAAUCUAGUGGGAGGAGUCUUUUGGUGGG